rnacentral:tRNA from 1 species
GGUAAAAUGGCCGAGCAGGCGGUGGAUUGUAGACCCACAAACAGAGGUGUUAGCCCUCUUUUUACCA